UUCCGGUUGAUCCUGCCGGAGGCCAUUGCUAUCGGAGUCCGAUUUAGCCAUGCUAGUCGCGCGGGUUCAGACCCGCGGCGUAUAGCUCAGUAACACGUGGCCAAACUACCCUAUGGACAGGAACAACCUCGGGAAACUGAGGCUAAUCCCUGAUACAGCUCUCAUGCUGGAGUGCCGAGAGCUGGAAACGCCCCGGCGCCAUAGGAUGUGGCUGCGGCCGAUUAGGUAGAUGGUGGGGUAACGGCCCACCAUGCCAAUAAUCGGUACGGGUUGUGAGAGCAAGAGCCCGGAGACGGUAUCUGAGACAAGAUACCGGGCCCUACGGGGCGCAGCAGGCGCGAAAUCUUUACACUGCACGACAGUGCGAUAAGGGGACUCCGAGUGCGAGGGCAUAUAGUCCUCGCUUUUCUGUACCGUAGGGAGGUACAGGAACAAGUGCUGGGCAAGACCGGUGCCAGCCGCCGCGGUAAUACCGGCAGCACGAGUGAUGGCCGAUAUUAUUGGGCCUAAAGCGUCCGUAGCCGGCCGUGCAAGUCCGUUGGGAAAUCGACGCGCUCAACGCGUCGGCGUCCAGCGGAAACUGUUCGGCUUGGGGCCGGAAGACCUGGGGGGUACGUCCGGGGUAGGAGUGAAAUCCUGUAAUCCUGGACGGACCACCAAUGGCGAAAGCACCUCAGGAGGACGGACCCGACGGUGAGGGACGAAAGCUAGGGUCUCGAACCGGAUUAGAUACCCGGGUAGUCCUAGCUGUAAACGAUGCUCGCUAGGUGUGCCACAGGCUACGAGCCUGUGCUGCGCCCUAGGGAAGCCGAGAAGCGAGCCGCCUGGGAAGUACGUCUGCAAGGAUGAAACUUAAAGGAAUUGGCGGGGGAGCACCACAACCGGAGGAGCCUGCGGUUUAAUUGGACUCAACGCCGGU
rnacentral:rRNA from 1 species